UACCUAGAGGGAGGCCAGCAAGCAGGGAAGGAUCAUGGCUUCCUCAUCUAGGAUGAUCUGGGGGUCAGGGCAAUCAGUGGCCCUUUACCACUCCCAUAGAGCUGCGCCGGCUCCUGCUCUCCCCAGGGGACAGAGGCUAGAGAAUACCACAUAAGACUUUGGGAACAGCCAGAGCACAGGCUCUGGGGAAAAUAAGAACCGCUCAGGUAGAAAAAAAAUAGUGUGAAAGAAGACACAAAAUGCAUCUAUUCCAGCUGAGCAAAUGUGUUCAGGUGGUUUGCGCUGACCUUUUUGGUCAUACUGGAUACUCUCAACCAAUUAGAGGACCAGAAGAAAUAGCAUGUGACUUCAACCAUUUGCCUCUCACCAUUAUUGUUAGUUGUUUGCAUUACAGCAUCACCUAGAGGUCCCAACCAAGAUCUGUGAUAAGUAUCUUAUGUACAUAGGAGACAGUUCUAAAUAAAUGAGAGAGAAAAAGAGGGGAAAGUUAGAAAGGAAGGAUUAUUACAGAUAGGGAUUUAAUAUCUUUUUCUUCUGUGUUUAUACAGCACCUAGCACAAAAGCGACCUGGUCCAUGAUGUGGGCUCCCAAGCAGUACUGCAAUACAAAUAAGGCACAAAGGUCUGUAGCAGAACUGGGAACUGAGGCUUUCCCAAGCCCUACUCUAGUGCCUUCCGCUCCAACCAUCUAACCAAUCUCAGUUUAAAAUUCAAAAGACACAGAGAAAAGCCUUUGCAGCAUGUCCAUGGACAUCCAGAUAGAGCUAAAUGCUUGAUGAACUUCAAUACCAAUUUCACUGAUGUGACAAGAUCAUACAAUGUACUGUGUGCAAAACCCUGCAAAAUUGGAGCAGAUACACACUACUAUAAUGAAGUUACUUGGUCAUCAAACAUAAAGAAUAUGUUGCAAAGAAUCCUGUGGCACCUUAUAGACUAACAGAAGUUUUGCAGCAUGAGCUUUCGUGGGUGAAUACCCACUUCUUCGGAUGCAAGCAGAGAAUAUGUUGUCUUUUUCUGAGGCUUCAAAGCGCUUUUUAAUAAAAAAUGUACAAAGCAGAGUAAAACAGCAGUUAAUACCUUCAUUACUAUCUGUCAAAAAAUGACAGUCAUAUAAGAAAGUGAAAGAGCCCAAGUGAAUGAGUGGACAGCUUAUGCAAAUUACUUUUACAGUGAUUUCCAAACAGGUGAGAAUGGAGUAGUGGGUGCUGCUGGAGGGCAAUGUCCUGAAGUGGACACCGCCGACCGGGGAGCAAGGCGGUUCCCAAAUGAGCAGAGCAGACAAUGGAUGAGACACCAUGUGCAGAGGAUGCUCCACAGCUGACAAGAGCUAAUUCCCAGAGCAACCAGCAGGAGGCGCCAGCGGUGUCAAUCUCCGCUGGACAGACUGUCACUCAGGCUUGGGUUGUCCUGCUGUCUGCUCUCUCCAGAGAGCACCCUUCAUCCUGAUAAAUGGUCUAUUAGCAGAGCCACAUGACUGAGAGAGACAUGCUCCUGAAGCUAAAUAGAUUACAGGCCUGUUCGCUCCAAACUGUCUCAAUAGAAGGUAAUAAGCAUGAUCAUUAAAGUGGGCUUUAGAACUAGAGGAGGCUUUUUCC